GAGGCGUUAGCUCAGCGGGAGAGCACUUGCUUGACAGGCAAGGGGUCGGGGGUUCAAUUCCCUUACGCCUCA
rnacentral:tRNA from 1 species